UUCCACCUUACAGGUGUGGCAUAUCAAGAAGAUGAUUAAACAGCAUAAUCAUUACACAAGUGCACCUUGUGCGUGGGACAAUUAAGGCCACUCUACAAUGUGCAGUUUUGUCAUGUAGCACAAUGCCACAGAUGUCUCAAGUUUUGAGCGAGUGAGCCUCCAACAUCGUUUUAGAGAAUUUGGCAGAAUGUCCAACUCGCCUCACGACCGCAGACCACAUAUAACCACGCCAGCCUAGGACAUCCACAUCCGUCUUCUUCACCUGCGGGAUUGUCUGAGACCAGCCACUGAUGAAAUUGAGAAGUAUUUCUGUCUGUAAUAAAGCCCUUUUGUGGGGAAAAACUAAUUCUGAUUGGCUGGGCCUGGCUCCCCAGUGGUUGUGCCCAGGCCCAGUCAUGUAAUCCAUAAAUUAGGGCCUAAUGAAUUUAAUGACUGAUUUCCUUAUAUGAACUGUAACUCAGUAAAAUCGUUGAAAUUGUUGCAUGUUGCGUUUAUAUUUUUGUUUAGUAUAUUUAUAAAACGUGGUUUAGAUAUUGUUGUUAUCAAUGACUGUAGAGGUUGUAACCCACUAUUAUUUUGGGCUGAGUCCAAGGAUUUCCAUUGAGAAUUGUUUAUAUGUUGCCACCAGCAGGGGGCGCUGGAGCACAGAGGUUUGCCCUCUCCCCUCAACAGCACUCAAAGAGGCUGUGACAAUUAACCGUUUCUCCUCCUGUCUCUUUUUUCGUUGUUCUCUUAAGCAGGUAUGUGGUGUAAACAAGCACAUUAUCUAUAGAAAAUGUUAGCCUAAAUGGUUAUCUGAGUGAUACUUACCUUUUAUGUUGAAGUUGUAGAAUGUAAAUGUGUAAAUUGAUUGAGUGAAACUGUUAGCGAUCUUGACAUGGAGAUUAGGGUUGUGGCUAAGUAAGACUAGGUCAUAUAAUAAAAUAAUAAAAAAUGGUGCCAGAUAAUAUUUUGGUUUGAAUGUAUUGAUGUAUAGCUCCUCUGAGGUAAUAUUCUACUUUGUUUAUAUGGUCUAGGCACUGACAUCUCCCCACCCAUGUGCUAUGUUACAGAGUUGUAUUUUUAGAGAAACACUAUAUGCUAAGCUAACUGUGCUAACGCUAGCCUGUCAAGCCUAUAGGGUUGCUAUUAGGUUAACGGCUACAGUUAGCUGGCUCAGUAUUGCUUCCUACUGUGUAUUCCUUUUUGUUUAACUUUUUUUUUUAUCUUAGGUUAAAGUAAAAACGGAGAAGGUAUAUUUUUAAAUACAAGUUACUGUAUCAGCUAGUAUGACUUUUUUAAAUACAGAGGAUGUGUGUUACUGUACUUAGUUAUAGUACUUUCUAGUCUUUUACAGCAUCUGAGUGGAUUAUUUAUGUUGCAGAUCAAAAUUCACCCCGACUCAAACUUUACUGGCCCAAAGAACAUCUGUAGUGCGGAGUUGUCAACCAUGACUGAGAGGUCUUGGAGCAGGCAGGCCUUCCCCGGGAGGAAGAGCAGCUCCGUUCUGUCAAGAUCAAGGCUAGGUGGGGCUCGGGAGUAGCUUUCUCAGGCGCAUUAUAAUUUAGUUCAAAGAAGAUCUAAUCACAUUGGGUCUUUUUUGGGUGGUCUCCAACACAGAAUGCACAUAUCGGAGAUACAUCGCCUUUGAAAAGAGGCUACUCGCAACUUUGGUUUUAGAAGUGGGGACAUUUAUUUUAUAGAUUUUUUCCCCAAUCGGAUAAACACUCCAAACAGCCUACCCGAUCACUCGGAGGCGUCCGCACGGUCCUAAAGCACACCUUUGCCCAUGUUUUGUAUCACAUUCCAUUGAUAAAACUGGGGGUGACAAAAAUGCAAUUUUCAGAAUGGGGGGGAGACAUGUCACUGUCCGCAGAGAAAGUUGCACCCCUGGCUAUAUGUAUGUAUUAUUUGUAGCAUUGUACAGCUAAGUCAUCUUCUGCCCUAACUCAAAUUGAAAUAUCUGGCUGUGUCAUUAUGACUUUGGACAAUUAUUUGACACAUUGAAGUUAUUUCAUUUGAACUAUGGUUAAGCUAAAAGGGAGAAGAUGGAGAGAGAAAAGGAUCCUGGAAAAGUGACAGUAAUUGGUGAGAAGGUUUUUGUUCAUUGAUUGCAAAUGAGCAUUUGACAGUGUGCGGGUAUUAUCAUGAUAUUGUUUUAAACAUAAUAUAACUCAUAAAUGACUCAUGGCAGAAAUAAUGGUGAAUAUGAUUCCAGACACUGACAUGGCUUAAAAGGAUACUGUGAGAUUUCAAGAUUUAGGUCGUUUUUUUACUUACCCAGAGUCCGACGAACUCAUGGAAACCCAUUUUUAGGUCUUUGCUUGCAGGAGAUUAUUGAAGUUAGUUUAGCGCAAUUACUGGUAGUCUCCCACAGUAGCCAGCUCCUCUCAGGGUAAUACACCUUCUAACUACUCCAAAGCUGUGUGGUUGGUCAUUUAUAGUCUAUACAUAGUAAUCGAUAUUUUAUAAAUGAGCUAAUUUGACUGAUAAUCAUAAGAAACGAGAUUCUAGCCACGUCCUCAUUCUCUGUCCGGUUAAAGAUCGCAGAGAUGUACUGUAUCUCUUAUUAUGGCGUCUGUGAGCGCAUGGACAGCGCCAUUGAAACAACUCUGAAUCAUGGAUUACCGUUUCUCCUGGUCCAUGGACUACUUUCAGGAUGCUGUCAUGAUGUGCUUCCCUGGUGCAACAAAGGGACAAGUGGGAACGGCUUAAAACAGUAAAAGUAAAUAAAAGUUAAUGACUAGGAUUAGUUAAUGACUGUGUUAGCUUUGUUGUUGGCUAGCUCUUCUGAACAACAGUGUCCUGACGAGUGAGCACGUUUUCGAUGCCAGGCGAAAUCGCACCUAAUUAGCUCAUUGGGUGUAUCCAAAUAAAUGUCACUAGAAAACAUCUUAAACAAAUGCAAAUGCAGCUACUUUGUUGUUAUUCUGUCUGCACUGUUUGACGAGACAUUUAAGUUAGCCGUAGUUGGCUAGCUAGCAAGCAAGGGAUAAGAACGUUGCCAGCGAGUAUGGCAAUGGAGCAUUUAUAAUGAACAACUUGUUCUCUCCAUAGAUACAGAACAAAAAGACUAAACAUUUCUAGCAACCAAACCGAUAGAACGAACGACCAGCCGGCUUAACACAUAUCGUUUCGGGACUAUAUCUUUUGGAAGGAUGAAAUAGUAUGAAUAAAUUCAUCAAAAUAAAGUU